rnacentral:rRNA from 1 species
UACAGAGGGUGCGAGCGUUAAUCGGAAUUACUGGGCGUAAAGCGUGCGCAGGCGGUUUUGUAAGCCAGAUGUGAAAGCCCCGGGCUUAACCUGGGAAUGGCAUUUGGGACUGCAAGGCUUGAGUGCGGCAGAGGAGACUGGAAUUCCCGGUGUAGCGGUGAAAUGCGCAGAUAUCGGGAGGAACACCAAUGGCGAAGGCAGCUCGCUGGGACGUGACUGACGCUGAGACGCGAAAGCGUGGGGAGCAAACAGG